AUGGUCAACAGUGAUAAUUUCUCAACCAAAGGCAUUAAAUUAACAACCACUUUUUGUUGUUUUCAGUUGAUCUGGGGGAGAAAAAAAGAUACCAACCAUAUCUACCUGGCAGGUGUUAGCCAAGGUCUGGUCUGUUGCUAUGAUGCAUCAUCACUAGUAAUUACAGCUGGAUAUGGGUGCAGCUCUGUCGGAAAAUCUCCUGGGAUUAUGAUUUCUCUAAGGACACAUGCAUUUCCUAAUUCAUGUGCUGUUCCUAAAAAACAAUUCUACAGGAUGGUUUGUUAACAUUGGCUUUACGAGGACAUAAUCCCAGUGGCAUGUUAUUUAAAGUGGUGGCAUCCAUGUUUCAUGAGAAGCUUUCAGAUGGCAAGGCUGAAAGCCAGAACUGGCAAAGUCAAGGCAAAAGUUAAAAGGUAAGGG
rnacentral:lncRNA from 1 species